rnacentral:RNase_P_RNA from 1 species
GCGAGUUGGCGUGCGGCUUUCGGGCCGAAAUUAUGAGGCCUGAGGAAACUCUGCCCACGUGUAGAACUGCAACACCCGCAAGGGUGUAGGGCGAGAGCCCUGGCUCCGGAGCAGAAACGAAACGUCCGCCCCGCACAUGCCAAUGAGGCAUGCUAAGUUGUCGAGAAUGCAGGGCGGAAACGGUGAAACGGCCGUCCUGCAGGUGUAAAGGGCAAAUAAGCGCCAAUGAGGAUUCUACCCAAGGCGCGGGUAGCCCG